rnacentral:lncRNA from 1 species
UUGUGUGCUAGGCAUCUGCUGUUUACAGAAAAUCAAUAUCGAAGUUGACCUACUUUCAAUGCGUUACACUGUUGUAUAUGCGGACGGCGAAUGCAUUUAAUCUAAUUUUUUCUAGACAAAUAUGGCAUACAUUGAUGUAAUACUUUGGUUUUGUCACUUUUAUUAAUGGAUUACAAAGUUCCCAAAAUUUCACCAUAUUCCGUGUAUAUGGACUUAUCAGUUUUUAUUUGAUUUGCCUGAUUCUUACAUGGACC